AGCAGCCGCGGUAAUUCCAGCUCCAAUAGCGUAUAUUAAAGUUGUUGCAGUUAAAAAGCUCGUAGUUGAAUUUUAGGCCUGGCCAGGCGGUCCGUCUUUGGCGAGUACUGUCUUGUUGUCGGGUCUUCCUUCUGGUGAACCAGUAUGUCCUUUAUUGGGUGUGUUGGGGAGCCAGGACCAUUACCUUGAAAAAAUUAGAGUGUUUAAAGCGGGCUAUUGCUUGAAUAGAUUAGCAUGGAAUAAUAGAAUAGGACGUUGUGGUUCUAUUUUGUUGGUUUCUAGGACCACCGUAAUGAUUAAUAGGGAUAGUUGGGGGCAUUAGUAUUCAAUUGUCAGAGGUGAAAUUCUUGGAUUUAUUGAAGACUAACUAUUGCGAAAGCAUUUGCCAAGGAUGUUUUCAUUAAUCAAGAACGAAAGUUAGGGGAUCGAAGACGAUCAGAUACCGUCGUAGUCUUAACCAUAAACUAUGCCGACUAGGAAUCGGGCGACGUUAUUUUAAUGACUCGCUCGGCGCCUUAUG
rnacentral:rRNA from 1 species